rnacentral:miRNA from 1 species
AGAGUAUCAGCGUGGCUUUUUU